rnacentral:rRNA from 1 species
CCUACGGGUGGCAGCAGUGAGGAAUAUUGGUCAAUGGACGAGAGCCUGAACCAGCCAAGUAGCGUGAAGGAUGACUGCCCUACGGGUUGUAAACUUCUUUUAUAAGGGAAUAAAAUGAUCCACGUGUGCCAUUUGGUAUGUACGUUAUGAAUAAGGAUCGGCUAACUCCGUGCCAGCAGCCGCGGUAAUACGGAGGAUCCGAGCGUUAUCCGGAUUUAUUGGGUUUAAAGGGAGCGUAGAUGGGUUGUUAAGUCAGUUGGGAAAGUUUGCGGCUCAACCGUAAAAUUGCAAUUGAUACUGGCAGUCUUGAGUACAGUAGAGGUGGGCGGAAUGCGUGGUGUAGCGGUGAAAUGCUUAGAUAUCACGAAGAACUCCGAUUGCGAAGGCAGCUCACUAAACUGCAACUGACAUUGAGGCUCGAAAGUGUGGGUAUCAAACAGGAUUAGAUACCCUGGUAGUC